GAACGCCGUAUGAAGCGAAAGUUUCAUGUACGGUGUGAAGCGGGGGAAAACUUGGAGAUAACAUCAAAAAGUUACCUAUCGCUAU
rnacentral:ncRNA from 20 species